rnacentral:rRNA from 1 species
CUAGCUCUAUCUGUUGUGAUGUUAUGCUCUUGCUUGUGAUGUAUUUACUGUUUCUUCCCCCUCUUCUCUCCGGUAGACCCCGAGACCGAUGUUGAUGUCCCUGUGAUCAACUACGUCGACGAUGACCGUCCUUCUUGUCUGAGCAACCAGAUGGUGGAUCCUUGGAGCCAGAUGCCACCGCCGACGGAUACUGCUACGUGGAGACCGCCGAUGACCAGGAGUAGUUAGGAGGUCCCAGGCAGGAGGCCUUGCCUCUUCAAUCGUGUUGCUUUUGUGCUAGCCUUCUUAAGGAAAACUUUGUUUAACUUAUGUCUGUACUCAGAUAUUGUUGCUUCCGUUGAUCUCUUGUGUAUCGAGCUAUGUAUUCGAGCCCUCGAGGCCCCUGGCUUGUAAUAUAAAACUUGUAUUAUUUCAUUUGG